rnacentral:rRNA from 1 species
UACAGAGGUGGCGAGCGUUGUUCGGAAUUAUUGGGCGUAAAGGGCGCGUAGGUGGUCCUGCAAGUCCUGUGUGAAAUCCCUCAGCUCAACUGAGGAACUGCACAGGAAACUGCUUGACUUGAGUUCGGGAGAGGGACGCGGAAUUCCGGGUGUAGCGGUGAAAUGCGUAGAUAUCCGGAGGAACACCGGAGGCGAAGGCGGCGUCCUGGACCGACACUGACACUGAGGCGCGAAAGCUAGGGGAGCAAAC